CCUUGUUUAUCUUAGUGGCGGACGGGUGAGUAACGCGUGGGUAACCUGCCCUGUACAGGGGGAUAACACUUAGAAAUAGGUGCUAAAACCGCAUAAGCGCACAGUACCGCAUGGUACAGUGUGAAAAACUCCGGUGGUACAGGAUGGACCCGCGUCUGAUUAGCUGGUUGGAGGGGUAACGGCCCACCAAGGCGACGAUCAGUAGCCGGCCUGAGAGGGUGAACGGCCACAUUGGGACUGAGACACGGCCCAAACUCCUACGGAAGGCAGCAG
rnacentral:rRNA from 1 species